UGACCGUGCCAAUGGUAGAGCACACGGCUGUUAACCGUGGGCUUGUUGGUUCGAGCCCAAUUCAGCAA
rnacentral:tRNA from 1 species